rnacentral:lncRNA from 1 species
GCCCAGGGAGGUGACGCUGGGAAGGUUGCCCCAGCGACCGACCGUUUCCACCAUGGAAGAGGGAGUGGCAGGGAGCGGGAGGGCCGCCCAGUGACCCUGGAUUCCCUCUGAGAAACAGGAAGUCCGUGCUGCCCAGGUCACUGCCCUGGCUGCAGAAAAGCAGCUGAGCCCUCCUCCUCUCCCGGCCCCCUCCCAGCCCAGGAAGGAAUUCACUGUCAACAGCCCAGUUCAGCUUCCGAAAGCCACUCGGAUCCCCUGGGCCCAAGACAAUGCCAGUCCCUUACGGUACAGAACAGGUUGCUGAGGCCCAGAGAGGGGAAGGCACCUGCCUCGGGUCACACAGCACCCAGGGGUAGGCCGAAGUGGAACUCAGGACGGGGGGCUUUCCUACUUAGCCGAGCAGCAGCAUGACUGAGGGCUGUUGCCCUCUGACCUUCUGUUAGUCUCUCUGAGCACCUUGCACACAGCAGCGAUCCUCCAAACCUGGUGAGGCAGGCUCUAUGGCUAGCCCUAUUUCACAGAUGAGGAGACUGAGGCAAGGCUGUCACCUACCCUGCCUGGGUCACACAGCUGGUGGCCAAGUCAUGAGGUGCCCCAGGGAUCAGAGCUGGAUAAAGUCCCAGGGCUUCUGAUCCCAUCCUUCCCUUUUUGAAAUGGGGUCACUGAGACCCAGAGAGGGGGAGGACGUGCCCCAAACCACAUGGCCUGGCUGACGCAGCUGGUUGUUUACCAGUCUCCUCCACAUCUGCGCUUAGAGAACCGGGCUGGCUUGAUAGUGGCAAAGUGCCAUAUUUAAAAAACAGCUAUGUUUCCCGCUCAUCCUGUGCAGCGGGACGCCGGGUCACAGUCCACCCAUGAAGCAUAAACAGAUCCGCUGGGUCGCGCUUCCAGGAGGUCUUUACAGGGAGGCCUGAUACGGGGACCCUGAGGACAUACCCGGUUCAGUCAGCGAUCUUCAAAUUCUGUGCUGCAGCCAUGCUUCGGGGGACCUGCAGAAGCACCGCUUUAGAGGAGAUAAAUAUAUAUUUACAAUCUGCAGAUGGGGGGCGGGAGGACUCUCCCUCCAGCUGUGCUUUUCUGCAAGCCACCGUCUCGUCCAACUGCUACGUUUAAAAGAGAGGAAAGUGAGGCACAGAGGGACAGCGGUGGGCUUGGCAGAGGACAGAGGGGGGGGCCUGGAGGGAGGGACCCAGCUCAGGCAGCCCGCAGUCCCAGAGUGCAGGCGCAGGCAGGGGGCGCUCUGGAGCCCCGGAUGGAGGACUUGGCCGAAACUUAGGGCAACCACUGGGGAACAGAGGGCACGGGAGGAGGGUGCCGGCCACUCUGCUCUGGACCCUGGCUCCGUGAUGGGAGGUGUUAAUGAGCAGGGCAGGCAGGACCCUGCUCCCCAGAGGGUCUGCCGUGCUCAGAGCCGGGUGCUGGGAGGUGAAAGGCUCCC